AUGAGAUUCUUGUUCUGAACAGCUACGCUAUUGCCCCAAGUUUGUUUUUUUAAGCUGAUGUCAGACUUCAGCAUUUUAAGCUAGGCCAGCUUUUUCUAAAGCUAGUAAAUACCACAGCAAAUAAUCAUAUCCUGUCUCUGGAUACAACCAACACUGCAGAAGUCCAGCUCU